rnacentral:rRNA from 23 species
GGGUUGUGAGGUUAAGCGACUAAGCGUACACGGUGGAUGCCCUGGCAGUCAGAGGCGAUGAAGGGCGUGCUAAUCUGCGAUAAGCGCCGGUAAGGUGAUAUGAACCGUUAUAACCGGCGAUACCCGAAUGGGGAAACCCAGUGUGAUUCGUCACACUAUCAUUAACUGAAUCCAUAGGUUAAUGAGGCGAACCGGGGGAACUGAAACAUCUAAGUACCCCGAGGAAAAGAAAUCAACCGAGAUUCCCCCAGUAGCGGCGAGCGAACGGGGAGGAGCCCAGAGCCUGAAUCAGCAUGUGUGUUAGUGGAAGCGUCUGGAAAGGCGCGCGAUACAGGGUGACAGCCCCGUACACAAAAGCGCAUAUGCUGUGAGCUCGAUGAGUAGGGCGGGACACGUGGUAUCCUGUCUGAAUAUGGGGGGACCAUCCUCCAAGGCUAAAUACUCCUGACUGACCGAUAGUGAACCAGUACCGUGAGGGAAAGGCGAAAAGAACCCCGGCGAGGGGAGUGAAAAAGAACCUGAAACCGUGUACGUACAAGCAGUGGGAGCACCCUUUUGGGUGUGACUGCGUACCUUUUGUAUAAUGGGUCAGCGACUUAUAUUCUGUAGCAAGGUUAACCGAAUAGGGGAGCCGGAGGGAAACCGAGUCUUAAUUGGGCGUUAAGUUGCAGGGUAUAGACCCGAAACCCGGUGAUCUAGCCAUGGGCAGGUUGAAGGUUGGGUAACACUAACUGGAGGACCGAACCGACUAAUGUUGAAAAAUUAGCGGAUGACCUGUGGCUGGGGGUGAAAGGCCAAUCAAACCGGGAGAUAGCUGGUUCUCCCCGAAAGCUAUUUAGGUAGCGCCUCGUGAAUUCAUCUCCGGGGGUAGAGCACUGUUUCGGCUAGGGGGCCAUCCCGGCUUACCAACCCGAUGCAAACUGCGAAUACCGGAGAAUGUUAUCACGGGAGACACACGGCGGGUGCUAACGUCCGUCGUGAAGAGGGAAACAACCCAGACCGCCAGCUAAGGUCCCAAAGUCAUGGUUAAGUGGGAAACGAUGUGGGAAGGCACAGACAGCCAGGAUGUUGGCUUAGAAGCAGCCAUCAUUUAAAGAAAGCGUAAUAGCUCACUGGUCGAGUCGGCCUGCGCGGAAGAUGUAACGGGGCUAAACCAUGCACCGAAGCUGCGGCAGCGACGUUUAUGCGUUGUUGGGUAGGGGAGCGUUCUGUAAGCCUGCGAAGGUGGCCUGUGAGGGUUGCUGGAGGUAUCAGAAGUGCGAAUGCUGACAUAAGUAACGAUAAAGCGGGUGAAAAGCCCGCUCGCCGGAAGACCAAGGGUUCCUGUCCAACGUUAAUCGGGGCAGGGUGAGUCGACCCCUAAGGCGAGGCCGAAAGGCGUAGUCGAUGGGAAACGGGUUAAUAUUCCCGUACUUGGUGUUACUGCGAAGGGGGGACGGAGAAGGCUAUGUUGGCCGGGCGACGGUUGUCCCGGUUUAAGCGUGUAGGCUGGUUUUCCAGGCAAAUCCGGAAAAUCAAGGCUGAGGCGUGACGACGAGGCACUACGGUGCUGAAGCAACAAAUGCCCUGCUUCCAGGAAAAGCCUCUAAGCAUCAGGUAACAUCAAAUCGUACCCCAAACCGACACAGGUGGUCAGGUAGAGAAUACCAAGGCGCUUGAGAGAACUCGGGUGAAGGAACUAGGCAAAAUGGUGCCGUAACUUCGGGAGAAGGCACGCUGACACGUAGGUGAAGUGAUUUACUCAUGGAGCUGAAGUCAGUCGAAGAUACCAGCUGGCUGCAACUGUUUAUUAAAAACACAGCACUGUGCAAACACGAAAGUGGACGUAUACGGUGUGACGCCUGCCCGGUGCCGGAAGGUUAAUUGAUGGGGUCAGCGCAAGCGAAGCUCCUGAUCGAAGCCCCGGUAAACGGCGGCCGUAACUAUAACGGUCCUAAGGUAGCGAAAUUCCUUGUCGGGUAAGUUCCGACCUGCACGAAUGGCGUAAUGAUGGCCAGGCUGUCUCCACCCGAGACUCAGUGAAAUUGAACUCGCUGUGAAGAUGCAGUGUACCCGCGGCAAGACGGAAAGACCCCGUGAACCUUUACUAUAGCUUGACACUGAACAUUGAGCCUUGAUGUGUAGGAUAGGUGGGAGGCUUUGAAGCGUGGACGCCAGUCUGCGUGGAGCCGACCUUGAAAUACCACCCUUUAAUGUUUGAUGUUCUAACGUGGACCCGUAAUCCGGGUUGCGGACAGUGUCUGGUGGGUAGUUUGACUGGGGCGGUCUCCUCCUAAAGAGUAACGGAGGAGCACGAAGGUUGGCUAAUCCUGGUCGGACAUCAGGAGGUUAGUGCAAUGGCAUAAGCCAGCUUGACUGCGAGCGUGACGGCGCGAGCAGGUGCGAAAGCAGGUCAUAGUGAUCCGGUGGUUCUGAAUGGAAGGGCCAUCGCUCAACGGAUAAAAGGUACUCCGGGGAUAACAGGCUGAUACCGCCCAAGAGUUCAUAUCGACGGCGGUGUUUGGCACCUCGAUGUCGGCUCAUCACAUCCUGGGGCUGAAGUAGGUCCCAAGGGUAUGGCUGUUCGCCAUUUAAAGUGGUACGCGAGCUGGGUUUAGAACGUCGUGAGACAGUUCGGUCCCUAUCUGCCGUGGGCGCUGGAGAACUGAGGGGGGCUGCUCCUAGUACGAGAGGACCGGAGUGGACGCAUCACUGGUGUUCGGGUUGUCAUGCCAAUGGCACUGCCCGGUAGCUAAAUGCGGAAGAGAUAAGUGCUGAAAGCAUCUAAGCACGAAACUUGCCCCGAGAUGAGUUCUCCCUGAGACUUAAAGUCUCCUGAAGGAACGUUGAAGACGACGACGUUGAUAGGCCGGGUGUGUAAGCGCAGCGAUGCGUUGAGCUAACCGGUACUAAUGAACCGUGAGGCUUAACCUUACAACGCCGAAG